AGAGGUUUUUCUAUGCAGAAUACUAGUGGUGGUACAGCACUAUAAAAGGUAGCAGACUCGUCCGCCAUUGUGGAGCCCAAUUUUUGACAUUUCUCAUUUAUUUGUGAUUGGUGCUAUCGUGUUUUAUAUUAAAUUAGACAAUAUGACUGGUUGUUCAGCUCCUAACUGCAAUAAUCAUUCAAGAAAUGGUUUUAAAUUUCAUAGGUUCCCUGCUGAUCCGGAUAGACGGAAAAAAUGGUUAGUAAAGUAUGUGCGUGCAAAUAGGUGCAAGAUUUGUAAUUAUACUUGACUAUUUCAAGCAACAAAAUGUUUCAAUGAAGAGAUAUCUAGGGGCAAGAGCGAGCAGAAGAAUUUGAGCACAGAAAAUCCACCCAAACGUAUAAAGCUAG
rnacentral:lncRNA from 1 species